AAUAGCGUAUAUUAAAGUUGUUGCGGUUAAAAAGCUCGUAGUUGGAUCUCAGUUCACGCUAAGUGGUCCACCGAAUGGUGGUUACUACUUAGCUGAGCAUUUUACAGAUUUGUCUCUUGAUGCUCUUUACCGAGUGUCAAGAGUGGUCUGUACGUUUACUUUGAAAAAAUUAGAGUGCUUAAAGCAGGCAACUCGCCCGAAUAAUCUUGCAUGGAAUAAUGGAAUAGGACCUUGGUUCUAUUUUGUUGGUCUCCGGAAUCUGAGGUAAUGAUUAAGAGGGACAGACGGGGGCAUUCGUAUUGCGCCGCUAGAGGUGAAAUUCUUGGACCGGCGCAAGACGAACUACAGCGAAAGCAUUUGCCAAGAAUGUUUUCAUUAAUCAAGAACGAAAGU
rnacentral:rRNA from 1 species